rnacentral:rRNA from 1 species
GGCCGAUUAGCUAGUUGGCGGGGUAACGGCCCACCAAGGCAAAGAUCGGUAGCUGGACUGAGAGGUUGGCCAGCCACACUGGAACUGAGACACGGUCCAGACUCCUACGGGAGGCAGCAGUGGGGAAUCUUGCACAAUGGGCGAAAGCCUGAUGCAGCAACGCCGCGUGGGGGAUGAAGCUUUUCGGAGUGUAAACCCCCCCUCGACCCGGAAGAAAGCCCGCAAGGGUUUGACGGUACGGGUAUAAGAAGCCCCGGCUAACUACGUGCCAGCAGCCGCGGUAAUACGUAGGGGGCCAGCGUUGCUCGGAAUUACUGGGCGUAAAGGGUCUGUAGGCGGUGUAGCAAGUCGAGAGUGAAAUCCCUGGGCUUAACCCAGGGGCUGCUAACGAAACUGCUAUGCUAGAGUGUGAGAGAGGCAAGUGGAAUUACGGGUGUAGCGGUGAAAUGCGUAGAUAUCCGUAGGAACAUCCGAGGCGAAGGCGGCUUGCUGGAUCACAACUGACGCUGAGAGACGAAAGCUAGGGGAGCA